CCUACGGGAGGCAGCAGUGAGGAAUAUUGGUCAAUGGACGAGAGUCUGAACCAGCCAAGUAGCGUGAAGGAUGACUGCCCUAUGGGUUGUAAACUUCUUUUAUAUGGGAAUAAAAUGUUCCACGUGUGGGAUUUUGUAUGUACCAUAUGAAUAAGGAUCGGCUAACUCCGUGCCAGCAGCCGCGGUAAUACGGAGGAUCCGAGCGUUAUCCGGAUUUAUUGGGUUUAAAGGGAGCGUAGGUGGAUUGUUAAGUCAGUUGUGAAAGUUUGCGGCUCAACCGUAAAAUUGCAGUUGAAACUGGCAGUCUUGAGUACAGUAGAGGUGGGCGGAAUUCGUGGUGUAGCGGUGAAAUGCUUAGAUAUCACGAAGAACACCGAUGGCGAAGGCAGCUCACUGGACUGCAACUGACACUGAGGCGCGAAAGUGUGGGUAGCAAACAGGAUUAGAUACCCGGGUAGUC
rnacentral:rRNA from 1 species